rnacentral:rRNA from 1 species
CCUACGGGUGGCAGCAGUGAGGAAUAUUGGUCAAUGGGCGGAAGCCUGAACCAGCCAAGUCGCGUGAGGGAUUAAGGCCCUGCGGGUCGUAAACCUCUUUUGUCGGGGAGCAGUGGUCCGGACGCGUCCGGACCGGGAGAGUACCCGGAGAAAAAGCAGCGGCUAACUCCGUGCCAGCAGCCGCGGUAAUAGGGAGGAUGCGAGCGUUAUCCGGAUUUAUGGGGUUUAAAGGGUGCGUAGGCGGGCAUUUAAGCAGGCGGUAAAAUUGCGGGGCUCAACCCCGGCCUGCCGUCGGAACUGGGUGCCUUGAGUGGGCGAGAGGUAUGCGGAAUGCGUGGUGUAGCGGUGAAAUGCAUAGAUAUCACGCAGAACCCCGAUUGCGAAGGCAGCAUACCGGCGCCCUACUGACGCUGAGGCACGAAAGUGCGGGUAUCGAACAGGAUUAGAUACCCGAGUAGUC